GUAAAUACUGUUUGACCCCUUGUGAUAAACCAACAGGAUAUUUAGUCAAGUAUUUAGUGGGAAGAGAAGAGUAAGCUUCCUGUAGUUGAAGUAUCUAUUAUAUUACGAAGUCAACGAGUGUGCAGUGAAGAGCUUUCGGCAGAAAUAAUGUAUAAAAUCUUUUAACAUCAUCUGCAUGGCAAGCCGUGGAAACAUUUCAUUUACGGGUAGAUGAUUCAAUUAUUUUUUACAACUUCAAACUUUUCAUUCUCAGAAGGCUUAUAUUUGUUGUAAGCAAACAGCAUAUUUACGAGUUUUGAACUGCGGUAUACUACUGUUGCCUUUAUUUAAUAACUUCUACUAUUGAAAUAAAGGUAUGGAUAAAUUUGCUUCAAAUUGAUGAUUGAAAAUAUUUGUCAUGUUUGUAGUGAAUUUUGUAUUACUUAAAUCUUCAGAUGAUGCCUUGCAGCAUUCCUUAUGAAGCAUGCAUUUUAAGGCAGUAUUUUCGUUUACAUAAAUGUAUAUGAAAUAAUACAUUCAUAUAUAUAUAUAUAUAUAUAUGUAAGUUUGGUGAUCAAUAUUUGAAAACUAGAUGUGUUUAAAAUAAAUCAUAAAACUAAUAUGAUGAUCCAAUAUAAACAUCAUUUUAGUGAUAGGCUAACAGUGAGAAGUACAACAAAAUGUAUGAGUAUUGAACACAAUUAAAUUACUUAAUUGCUGUAUAGUUAUUUAUCGAACUUACAAGCUCAUACUUCCAACCAUCAAGAAUAAAGUUUGGAUUGGUCUUUUAAAGUUUCUAUGGCUUUAGGACACUGCAACAGGUAGACAUGUAAAAUACAGAUAAUUACCUCUGACUUAAGUUUAUGUUAUUGUUUAAAGGAAUGUUUUAAAUGGAUUUUGACAGUAAAGUUUUUUACUUUAUGGUUGUGUAAUCAAAUCUUUGACUUUAUCUUUUUUCCCUCGUGUUAUUAUGCACUAUUGGAUACUAUUGUGUUAAGAUUACCCAAGUCCAUACUCAUAUGUUAUUUUUGAUCUAGUCGUAUGUAGGUGUAUCUUUGACAUAUUGUACCUGAAAGUAAAUUCGCUGAAUCAUUUCAUCUUUUUUAUUGUACUUUUUUAUUAGUUAUUGUUUCAUCCAAUUAAAAAUCAUUGAAAUUUUGAUUUCAUCUACCGGAUAUUAAUCACUAUUGUAAGGAAGAAUUCUGGAAUGAAGGUGAUAAUCUUGAUCAAAAGUAAGUUACUGUUGCCUACAUUUUCAUAUUUGAAAUUUCGUAAGUUUGAUGUCUAAGUUGAUAUAUCCAAGUCCUUGUUUCAAAAAAUAUAAUAUAGUCACAGUAUAUUGUAUUUUUGUAGAAACAAAAGGUACAAUUCAUUUAAUUUCAGUUAUAAAAGCGUAUAUUCAUCAAAAUUCUAUUGAUGAGUGAAAGCAAAAAUGUAUCCAAUAUGGUUUUUAUUGUCCGACCUAGAGGGUAAAGUUCCAUGUAGGAUGUAAAAAUACCUAUCAUCAUCUAUGUAAAGUGUGAAAACUUUAUUUUUUCAGAAAAAAUAUCUUGCAAGUUUGUUUCAAUCGGAUAACUUCUUCUACAGUAGAAGAUCAGGUGAAGCCAAUUAACAUCGUUUUACCACUGAGUCGAUGUCACUGCUGGUGGAGAUAUUUUUCCCCGAGGGUAUCACCAGCCCAGUAAUCAGCACUUUUUGUGCUGACAUGAAUUAUCAUUGAUAUGGUUAUAUUUAUAAAUUAACUGUUUACAAAAUUUUGAAUUUUUCAAAAACUAAGGCUUGUCUACCUCAGGCAUAUAUUACCUUAGCUGUAUUUGGCAUAACUUUUAGGAAUUUUGGUCCUUAAUGCUCUUCAACUUCUUACUUUAUUUGGUUUUUAACUUUUUGGGAUUCGAGCGUCACUGAUGAGUCUAUUUUAGACGAAACGCGCGUCUGGCGUAUAUACCAAAUUUAGUCCUGGUAUCUAUGAUGAGUUUAUUUUUUACCAUCGAGUCAUAUUAGACUGUCUGGAUAAAAAGCAAAUGUAAAAUUCCAUAAUGUUACCGUAAAGUUGUAUUUAAAUGUCGUCAUAGUGUAGGGGAUCUAGGUGGCCGAACUUGUGGUACUAUUGUAUCACCGCCAGUUGGAACCCUGCAGGUGACAGGUGGGUUUCGACUCAAGUCUCAGUUGACUAGGGUUGUUUGUUUUUCUGCCACAUUUCGGUGAAUCUCUUGGCACUCCUACUUCCAAUAAAGACUAAUCCACGAAAUAGCUUAUUAGUUGUGUAAAGGCGUCAAACACCAAUCAAUACAUCAAUCGGUAAUAGUGUUAUUCUUCUAGGCAUCAAGGACACAACAAUCAUUAUGCAGCUUUACCGGAAUACUGCCAUAUCAUGCAAAGGGGGGACAAGAGUCGGAGGAUACCAAAGGAACAAUCAAUCUCACAAGUCGAAAAUAAACCAAGUAAACAACGUCAUGUCUAAAGUAGAAAAAUACAAAGACAAAAAACAGCACACAAAACAACAUAGGAAACAAAAUAUUGAAUAACACGGACCCCAUCAAAACUGGGGUGAUCUCAAGUGCCCAUAACACGGACCCCAUCAAAACUGGGGUGAUCUCAAGUGCCCCUAAAGGAUAAGAAGAUCCCGAUAAACUGUUGUCGGUUUGGUUUCAGUUCAUUCAAUGCGCAAUGUGGAGUAGGAGUUCUUUACGCAUUUUACCUUUCGGUAUGCGAGCCAUAUUGAACUUUUUAUCAGGACCAAAGUAUAAUUGUUCGGUAAAUACCUGAGGGAAAAGCUAAACAUGAUCAGCAUUCUUUUAAUAACAUAUUUACUUCAAUAUGAAGGAAAACAUACUAGUAGUACUCAAUUGGAUAUCGAUGUAAACGUUGACCAUUUAGACUAUCCUAUUGGAUUCAAAAGUAACGAUAUUUGUCAAGAUCUUUUCAGGAAAAUAUCUGUCCAACUACAUGUUCAUGAUUUCAUUUCUACAAAAUGCUUGAAUGUCGGUCUCCUUUGUCCUUUUAGCCGUAUCAAUCUCUCCAUCAGAACACGAGUAAUGACAGUUUGGGACUAUUCAAAUGAACAUUUCUGAACAGCAUUAUGUUAAUUUCCUGGAGAUAAAGUUUUUGGCAUGAAAGCAAACGGUUAUUCCCAAUAGGGUUUUCAGUAUGAACUUUGAUGUCUGCUGAGUGUCGUAUAACAUUUGCGAUCGACACAAGCAUACAACACUUGUAGCCAAUCUUAUCAUUGAUGUCCAGACCCUUGACGAUACAUAUACGCUGGACUUUUUUCAGAACCUCUAAAGGAACAUAUACUAAUAUGUCACAAUUAGUUUCAAUUGGUGCAUCCGUUCUUGAGAAGUUUCGAAAAGAAAGUAUGGCCGUUUGUAAACGAAUUGACCCAAGAAAAAAUCUGAAAGGACCUUGAAGUGAACAUCUCUGCCAGACUUGGUUUUAAUUCUACAAACUGUAUAUUUGAUAUUUAAUGCAAUGUUUUAUUAAUGAAAAUAAUGUGGCUAUCUGAUACACAGAUAUGUAUGACGAUUUUACUGGUCACAACCUCACAUUUUUUUCUAUUUUUAAACAAUGGAAAUUAAAUAAAUUCACACAAUAACUUUUGAAUUUACAGUAUAUUGUUUGGAUGCAGACUAUCAAAAUGCGAAAAGCAAACAAGCAAAUGCAUUAACGCCAAUAAUGGAAAAAUCUCAUGUGACUUCAAAAAAUAAAUUUACAUAUUAUUGAUGGUUAUCACUGAUUAUCUAAGAAUCGAUGAUAUCUACAUGCAAAUGUUGCAAUGCAUCAGUCUUCAUCUACUUACCAGCCUGCAUAUAAUAAUAUAAAACAACAAGAAUGUGUCCAUAGUAAACGAUGCACCACUCCCAUUAGCAUUUCUAUGUUCAGUGAACCGUGAAAUUGGGAUAAAAAUAUAAUUUGGCAUUUAAAUUAGAAAGAUCAUAACCUAAGGAACAUGUGUACAAAGUUUCAAGUUGAUUGGACUUGUACUAAAUCAAAAACUACCUUGACCAAAAACUUUAACCUGAAACUUGCACUAUCAUUUUCUAUGUUCAGUGGACCGUGAAAUUGGGGUCAAAAGUCUAGUUUGGCAAUUAAAUUAGAAAGAUCAUAUAAUAGGGAACAUGUAUACUAAGUUUGAAGUUGAUUUGACUUCAAAUUCAUCAAAAACUACCUUGACCAAAAACUUUAACCUGAAACAUGCACUAUCGUUUUCUAUGUUCAGUGGACCGUGUAAUUGGGGUCAAAAGUCUAAUUUGGCAAUUAAAUUAGAAAGAUCAUAUCAUAGUGUACAUGUGUACUAAGUUUCAAGUUGAUUGGAUUUCAACUAAAUCAAAAACUACCUUGACCAAAAACUUUAACCUGAAACUUGCUUUAUCAUUUUCUAUGUUCAGUGGACCGUGAAAUUGGAGUCAAAAGUCUAAUCUGGCAAUUAAAUUAGAAAGAUCAUAUCAUAGUGAACAUGUGUACUAAGUUUGAAGUUGAUUGGACUUGAAAUUCAUCAUAAACAAGUGAAACUGUGAGCUACUGCUCACUGAUGAUACCCCCGCCGCAAGUGGAUAAUAUUAAUAGUGUAAAAAUAUACAAGUGUUCGGUAAACAGGAAGUUGUCGAGUGAUGAAUCUGAAAACGCAUCACACGGUAUAGCUGACUUAUAUAAAUCCUGAAACCAAAUUUCAGAAAUCCUUGUAUUGUAGUUCCUGAGAAAAAUGUGACGAAAAUUUUCAACUUGGCUAUCAUGUGUAAAAUCAUACAAGUGUUCGGUAAACAGGAAGUUGUCAAGUGAUGAAUCUGAAAACGCAUCACACGGUAUGGCUGACAUAUAUAAAUGUUGAUACCAAAUUACAGAAAGGGUGGAUGUGUAGUUCCUGAGAAAAAUGUGACGAAAGUUUCAUGGGACGGACUGACUGACUGACGGACGGACUGACGGACGGACUGACGGACGGACGGACUGACAGACAGAGGUAAAACAGUAUACCCCCCCUUUUUUAAAGCGGGGGUAUAACUACCUUGACCAAAAACUUUAACCUGAACGAUCGAACGAACGAACGAACGAACGAACGAACGGACGGACAGACAGACGGAAGGACGGACGGACGCACAGACCAGAAAACAUAAUACCCCUCUACUAUCGUAGGUGGGGCAUAAAAAGAUAUUUAACAAGAGGAUAAAUAUUUUAUUAAUUCACUGUGACGUUUUCAUUGGAUAUAGCUAUGUUAAUUCAUUAGAAUGUUUAAUCAACACCCUCUUUUCACUCAACCUUAGAUAUAGUUCAGUUAUAAAUCAGUAAACAUGUAAAAUGAAGAAAAAUAAUUGAACCCAUGUGAGCACAUAAAAGACAAAUUUGCAAAACCAUAUGUCCUUAUUCAGACUGUUUAGUUUUUCUUUUAAUUUAGCAGACCACACAUGAAAGCCGGUUAAAUUAUGCCAAAAUGGUUAAAGUGAUACAACAGUUCCCUAGCACAGUAUUGGAAGAAAUCAUGUCAAAAUAAAUGGACACCAGAAAAACUGUAGCAAAGAUAAACCUUGAAUUCAGAUAAUGGUUUGUAAAAUAAGAUGGAUGUUUAUAUGAUAUCUUACAAAUGCCAAUCCUUUCACAUUCACAUAAUUUUAUUUAAGUUUGUUAAUCUGAUGGAAUAGACAAUUAAGUUAUCUCUAAUGCAACUAGAUUACUCAGUCCCAAUUGAAAC
rnacentral:lncRNA from 1 species